GCUCGGCCAGGAUGCACCCCACGGCCCUGCAGAGGAGAGAGGGCCUCACUUCACGCACCGGCUCGCCGUGGCCACACACCUCCGCCGAGUGCCACUUUGACUGCUGCAAACGUGGAUGGCACGCGCGGUCACGGCAGCUGCUGCUGGACAGCCCCCGUGAGCAGCAGCGAAUUCUCUAUGCCACGCGGGGGCUGGCUGACACAUGGCAGAAGGUGUAGGAUUUCCACGUCCUCUCUGUAACCACAACCCUGCUGUGCUUCUUAAAAACACGAGAAGCAACUCCAGAAAGCUGCGUCACCCACCCACCCUUCUGUCUGAAUCAGGCUGGGUGUCCGGCUGCCUCGGGCAGGGCGGUCUCACCAGCCUUUGCUGUCAUCUUGCUGUCUCAGGAAGUGUCCUAGACCCAGCCUCCAGGAGUAUGUGCAGCCCUCUGGGGCUUCGAGACCCUCAGGGUCCUUCUGCAGCUUUGGCCUGAUCAGUGCCCCACACUUCCCUCCACCAGGGAAACCUUGUCCCGACAGACUCACCAGAGCGUCACCACCUUGGGGGUCAUCGGCUUCACUGGGAUGCCAUAGGCCCGCGCCAGGCCAAAAUCCGCUGCGACAAAGGCAGAAAGACGAGGGGACGAGGGUCACCGGGGGAGGGCUAACGAGCUGCUGUGUGGGAGCCAGCCCUCAGCCUUUAGGGUGCUUGUGAGGACUGACCUGCUCCCCUGCCCAAGUGGCCACACCUCCCACAGAGCCAGCGCCCUGCACCCACCUGUCUUCACACAGCCUUUGUCAGUCAUGAGCAGGUUGGAAACCUUCAGGUCCCUGUGACAGAAAGUGAUCACUAGUUCCCAGGAAGUGAGCUCCGUGGGGUAAUUACGUUGUCUCCUAACUGUAUGUCACAGGCACACUCAAAACACUUUUCCUCCACAUCCUCUGUUGGAACUUUUUAAAGUUUACUUAUUUUUAAUAAUCUCCACACCCAAUGUGUGGAUUGAACGUACAACCCUGAGAUCAAGAGUCACACGCUCUCCUGACUGAGCCCAUUUGAGCUUUCUGGGCACCCCCGUUUAAAACUUUUUAUUAUUUGUUAACUUGAAAUUAAAAAAAAAUUUUGUAAUGUUUA